rnacentral:rRNA from 1 species
UGCAAGUCGACGAUGAACCGCUUCGGUGGUGGAUUAGUGGCGAACGGGUGAGUAACACGUGGGCAAUCUGCCCUUCACUCUGGGACAAGCCCUGGAAACGGGGUCUAAUACCGGAUAACACUCUGUCCCGCAUGGGACGGGGUUGAAAGCUCCGGCGGUGAAGGAUGAGCCCGCGGCCUAUCAGCUUGUUGGUGGGGUAAUGGCCUACCAAGGCGACGACGGGUAGCCGGCCUGAGAGGGCGACCGGCCACACUGGGACUGAGACACGGCCCAGACUCCUACGGGAGGCAGCAGUGGGGAAUAUUGCACAAUGGGCGAAAGCCUGAUGCAGCGACGCCGCGUGAGGGAUGACGGCCUUCGGGUUGUAAACCUCUUUCAGCAGGGAAGAAGCGAAAGUGACGGUACCUGCAGAAGAAGCGCCGGCUAACUACGUGCCAGCAGCCGCGGUAAUACGUAGGGCGCAAGCGUUGUCCGGAAUUAUUGGGCGUAAAGAGCUCGUAGGCGGCUUGUCACGUCGGAUGUGAAAGCCCGGGGCUUAACCCCGGGUCUGCAUUCGAUACGGGCUAGCUAGAGUGUGGUAGGGGAGAUCGGAAUUCCUGGUGUAGCGGUGAAAUGCGCAGAUAUCAGGAGGAACACCGGUGGCGAAGGCGGAUCUCUGGGCCAUUACUGACGCUGA